rnacentral:rRNA from 1 species
AUGGUUUUCCCAGGAAGGGGAAGGAUCCGUGUCGAUGCUGACAGUGUUCAGAGGGUAUUUGAUCUCCCAAACAAGGGUCCAAAAGUCAGAUAUUUAGUUGACAAGGAUGCUACUAGGAGAUUCAGACAGGCUUUCAACAUAACUGGAAAUUCUCAUCCCCAGAUCACUACAUGGCUCAAGAUGAUUGAGCAUAUGGCUGGAAGAACGGAUGACACAUUUUUUAUGGCCUGGCUUGCGAUACUAUACCUUGAUGCGCUCGUACAUGACAUCCCAGUAAGCAACUGCGCGAUACGAUCGAAUGCAUGGGAUAGUACUCUAAUUGCCAAGGUGAUCAAGAAGGAUACUAUCUCUCCUGGUGUGUUCGGCAAAUUACAACUUAAAGAGGAGUAUAGAGGCACGGAGCAGACACCACUGUUUGGUGGAAUUUUGCAAGCUGAAGCAUUUGUGGCAUCCAAGUUACCAAUAACAUACAAUCCGCAGAAAAAGGCAAAAAUUGCGAAAGUGGUCAAUGAGCUAUGCAAGGCUGUAACUGAACAGGUUGGCACCUUCAUUAAAGAAGUUGCCAAGAUUGAUGACGAGGAACCAGAUAUUGAUCCUUACGAGAUGCCCUGGUCCUUGAACCCUUACGAAGAUCAAACUCUUAUCAUGGUGACGGGUUCUGCGAUGCACCAUCUUUUGACCUCGGCAUAG